UCCCUGGUGGUCUAGUGGUUAGGAUUUGGAGCUCUCACCGCCAUGGCUCGGGUUCGAUUCCCGGUCAGGAAA